rnacentral:rRNA from 1 species
ACGGGAGGCAGCAGUGGGGAAUAUUGGGCAAUGGACGAAAGUCUGACCCAGCGACGCCGCGUGAGGGAAGAAGGUCUUCGGAUUGUAAACCUCUUUCAGCAGGGAAGAAGGAAGUGACGGUACCUGCAGAAGAAGUCACGGCUAACUACGUGCCAGCAGCCGCGGUAAUACGUAGGUGGCGAGCGUUAUCCGGAAUUACUGGGUGUAAAGGGUGUGUAGGCGGGGAAGCAAGUCAGAUGUGAAAAUUAUGGGCUGAACUCAUAAACUGCAUUUGAAACUGUGAGUCUUGAGAGUGGGAGAGGUAAACGGAAUUCCCGGUGUAGCAGUGAAAUGCGUAGAUAUCGGGAGGAACAUCGGUGGCGAAGGCGGUUUACUGGACCAUUACUGACGCUGAGACACGAAAGCGUGGGGAGCAAACAGGAUUAGAUACC